rnacentral:rRNA from 1 species
GACGAACGCUGGCGGCGUGCUUAACACAUGCUAGUCGAACGAUGAAGCUGGAGCUUGCUCCGGUGGAUUAGUGGCGAACGGGUGAGUAACACGUGAGCAAUCUGCCCUUGACUCUGGGAUAACUGCGGGAAACUGUAGCUAAUACCGGAUACUUUCACUGGAAGGCAUCUUCUGGUGAAGAAAGAAUUUCGGUAAAGGAUGAGCUCGCGGCCUAUCAGCUUGUUGGGGAGGUAACGGCGCACCAAGGCGACGACGGGGAGCCGGCCUGAGAGGGUGACCGGGCACACGGGAACUGGGGCACGGCCCAGACCACUACGGGAGGCAGCAGUGGGGAAUAUUGCACAAUGGGCGCAAGCCUGAUGCAGCAACGCCGCGUGAGGGAUGAAGGCCUUCGGGUUGUAAACCUCUUUUAGCAGGGAAGAAGCGAAAGUGACGGUACCUGCAGAAAAAGCACCGGCUAACUACGUGCCAGCCGCCGCAGUAA